GUUGUAUGGUUAAGUGACUAAGCGUAUACGGUGGAUGCCUUGGCAGUCAGAGGCGAUGAAGGACGUAGUAACUUGCGAAAAGCGUUGGCGAGCUAGUAACAAGCAUUUGAGCUAACGAUAUCCGAAUGGGGAAACCCACUCACAUAAGUGAGUAUCACAUACUGAAUACAUAGGUAUGUGAGGCAAACCCGGGGAACUGAAACAUCUAAGUACCCGGAGGAAAAGAAAUCAACCGAGAUUCCCCUAGUAGCGGCGAGCGAACGGGGAUUAGCCCUUAAGUCUAUAGGGUGUUAGUGGAAUGAGUUGGAAAGCUCAGCGGCACAGGGUGAUAGCCCCGUACAUGAAAACUAACUAUAGAUGAAAACGAGUAGGACGGGACACGUGACAUCUUGUCUGAACAUGGGGGGACCAUCCUCCAAGGCUAAAUACUCCUGACUGACCGAUAGUGAACCAGUACCGUGAGGGAAAGGCGAAAAGAACCCCUGUGAGGGGAGUGAAAUAGAACCUGAAACCGUAUACGUACAAGCAGUGGGAGCGGUCCUUGAGACCGUGACUGCGUACCUUUUGUAUAAUGGGUCAGCGACUUACAUUUUGUAGCAAGGUUAAGCGAAUAGCGGAGCCGUAGGGAAACCGAGUGUUAACUGCGCGUUUAGUUGCAAGGUGUAGACCCGAAACCGAGUGAUCUAGCCAUGGGCAGGUUGAAGGUUGAGUAACAUCAACUGGAGGACCGAACACACGUAUGUUGAAAAAUGCGGUGAUGACUUGUGGCUGGGGGUGAAAGGCCAAUCAAACUCGGAGAUAUCUGGUUCUCCUCGAAAGCUAUUUAGGUAGCGCCUCGUACGAAUACCAUUGGGGGUAGAGCACUGUUAAGGCUAGGGGGUCAUCCCGACUUACCAACCCUUUGCAAACUCCGAAUACCAAUGAGUACUAUACGGGAGACACACGGCGGGUGCUAACGUCCGUCGUGAAAAGGGAAACAACCCAGACCAUCAGCUAAGGUCCCAAAGUUAUUGCUAAGUGGGAAACGAUGUGGGAAGGCUUAGACAGCUAGGAUGUUGGCUUAGAAGCAGCCAUCAUUUAAAGAAAGCGUAAUAGCUCACUAGUCGAGUCGGCCUGCGCGGAAGAUUUAACGGGGCUAAGCAAUACACCGAAGCUAUGGGUUUGCUAGUUUACUAGCAAGCGGUAGAGGAGCGUUCUGUAAGCCGUUGAAGGCGAAGGGGUAACCCACGCUGGAGGUAUCAGAAGUGCGAAUGCUGACAUGAGUAACGAUAAAGGGAGUGAAAAACUCCCUCGCCGAAAGACCAAGGUUUCCUGUCCAAUGUUAAUCAGGGCAGGGUAAGUCGACCCCUAAGGUGAGGCCGAAAGGCGUAAUCGAUGGGAAACGGGUUAAUAUUCCCGUACUUCUACUAACUGCGAUGGAGAGACGGAGAAGGCUAGGCUAGCGCGGCGUUGGUUGUCCGCGUUUAAGGCUGUAGGCUGUUCACUUAGGCAAAUCCGGGUGAACGCAUUAAAUUGCAAAGCUGAGAGUUGAUGACGAGUCCCCAAGGGGAUGAAGUAGUUGAUGCCAUGCUUCCAGGAAAAUCUUCUAAGCUUCAGGUUAGUAGGAAUCGUACCCCAAACCGACACAGGUGGUUGGGUAGAGAAUACCAAGGCGCUUGAGAGAACUCGGCUGAAGGAACUAGGCAAAAUGGUACCGUAACUUCGGGAGAAGGUACGCUGCCGGCGGUGAUGGGACUUGCUCCUUAAGCUGCUGGCAGUCGCAGAUACCAGGUGGCUGCAACUGUUUAUCAAAAACACAGUACUGUGCAAACUCGCAAGAGGAAGUAUACGGUAUGACGCCUGCCCGGUGCCGGAAGGUUAAUUGAUUGGGUUAUCUUCGGAGAAGCUCAUGAUCGAAGCCCCGGUAAACGGCGGCCGUAACUAUAACGGUCCUAAGGUAGCGAAAUUCCUUGUCGGGUAAGUUCCGACCUGCACGAAUGGCGUAAUGACGGCCACGCUGUCUCCAGCCGAGACUCAGUGAAGUUGAAAUUGCGGUGAAGAUGCCGUAUACCCGCGGCUAGACGGAAAGACCCCGUGCACCUUUACUAUAGCUUGGCACUGAACAUUGAACCUACAUGUGUAGGAUAGGUGGGAGACUUUGAAGCAGAGACGCUAGUUUUUGUGGAGUCAACCUUGAAAUACCACCCUUGUAGUUUUGAUGUUCUAACUCUGGCCCCUGAAUCGGGGUUGAGGACAGUGCCUGGUGGGUAGUUUGACUGGGGCGGUCUCCUCCCAAAGAGUAACGGAGGAGCACGAAGGUUGGCUAAGUACGGUCGGACAUCGUACGGUUAGUGCAAUGGCAUAAGCCAGCUUAACUGCGAGACAUACACGUCGAGCAGGUACGAAAGUAGGUCAUAGUGAUCCGGUGGUUCUGAAUGGAAGGGCCAUCGCUCAACGGAUAAAAGGUACGCCGGGGAUAACAGGCUGAUACCGCCCAAGAGUUCAUAUCGACGGCGGUGUUUGGCACCUCGAUGUCGGCUCAUCACAUCCUGGGGCUGAAGUCGGUCCCAAGGGUAUGGCUGUUCGCCAUUUAAAGUGGUACGCGAGCUGGGUUCAGAACGUCGUGAGACAGUUCGGUCCCUAUCUGCCGUGGGCGUUGGAUGAUUGAAGGAAGCUGCUCCUAGUACGAGAGGACCGGAGUGGACGAACCGCUGG
rnacentral:rRNA from 1 species